rnacentral:rRNA from 1 species
AUGACCAAGAAAAUUUAUAACUUCUUAUUGAGGAAUGAGGAUGCUGAAGCCACUUUCAAAUGGAUAUGGAAGUCAUGCUGCCUACCAAAGCAUAAUUUUUUUUGCUGGCUUCUACUUCAUGAUAGAAUAAACACAUGUGACCUUCUGACCAGGAAAAAUAUGCAUCUAGAUUCCACCCAAUGUGUAUUAUGUGAUGCUGAAGAUUAUGAAGACAGAAUGCAUCUUCUCUUCUCUUGCCCAUUCAGCCAGGGUUUUUGGUGGAACAUUGGUCUUGAAUGGAACACUGACCUGAAUAUCCAUGAUAUGAUUAUUGAAGCGCAUCAAAGAUAUAAACAACACCAUUUCAUGGAAAUUUUGAUUAUUGGAUGCUGGAGUAUAUGGAAUCAAAGAAAUGAUCUGAUAUUUGAAGGAAUCCCUUGCUCUAUCAAUGAUUGCAGAUAUGAAUUUAUCAAAACUUUCAAAUUGACUAUGCUAAGAGCCAAACCCAGUUUAAAGGAGGACAUGUCUUCCUGGAUUGAUAACAUCUAA